AUUUCCAGAGAGACCAUUAGGAACAGACUGCCUGCGCUGCUGACUUAAGGCCCCAACACCAAACACAGAAGCAACAGCCUUACACAGAGUGUUCAGCAAGCUCCCACAAUUGUGUAAGCAGCCCGAGCUGACAGAGAUAGACAGAAACAACACAAGGACCCAUCAGCAGACGAAUGGAUGAUCAAAACGUGAUAGGAAAAAUGAGGCCUAAAGAAGUUAAGAAAAUACCAUGGAAAUGUCACUGCUGAACUGCCAUACGUAGGAUCCGAAAGAAAUUGGAACUGUAUAAUGAUGACUGCACAAGAUACCAAAUCAGAAGAGGUUCCAUUUCCAAGUUCUGAUUCAUAAGAGCUUCCAAAGUAGAGCCGGUACAUAUUGAAUUUUGAUUCAUCUGGAAGGAUCUCGGACAUCUCUAAAGAAACAAGGGACUGAUCUAAGCCACAUUCUCCAUCUCCAGCUGAAUCGUCAGAGCCACUGCUAUGGUUAAGAAAGACCAUUGAAGACAGACUUAGGUCACUAUCAGAGCUGGAACUUCCAUCCUAAAAUACACAAAAGGACAACCAGUUUAAAGAUGUAAACAAUUUUAGUCUCAGAAAUAAAUAAUAACAUAGAUAGCAUUCUAUUAGAGCAAUACAAGAAACUUAGAA
rnacentral:antisense_RNA from 1 species